AGUACCCUACGGGGGCAGCAGUUGGGAAUAUUGGACAAUGGAGGAAACUCUGAUCCAGUGACGCCGCGUGGAGGAAGAAGGUCUUCGGAUUGUAAACUUAUUUUAUCAGGGAAGAAAAAAAUGACUGUACCUGAAGAAGAAGCACCGGCUAACUACGUGCCAGCAGCCGCGGUCAUACGUAGGGUGCAAGCGUUAUCCGGAUUUACUGGGUGUAAAGGGCGAGUAGCCGGCGUUGCAAGUCAGAUGUGAAAGUCUAGGGCUCAACCUUAGGAGAGCAUCUGAAACUGUAAUGCUAGAGUGCAGUA
rnacentral:rRNA from 1 species